GCCAAGGUGGCGGAACGGCAGACGCGGCGGACUUAAAAUCCGCUGGGGCAACCCGUGUGGGUUCGAGUCCCACCCUUGGCACCA
rnacentral:tRNA from 1 species